UUUUUUUUUUAUAACUUAAUCUCACAUAGC
rnacentral:misc_RNA from 1 species